GAAAAGCUCCACAUGGCUCUGGUGACCAACGGACAUCCCAACGUACUGGUGGCAGGCCGCAUUGUGCAGUCCACUAGGCUCGAACCAGAGGUGUUCUGCUCACUCAUG
rnacentral:lncRNA from 1 species